GACAGAGGGUGCAAACGUUGUUCGGAAUUACUGGGCGUAAAGCGAGUGUAGGCGGUUUUGUAAGUCGGGUGUGAAGGCCCUGGGCUCAACCCAGGAAGUGCACUCGAAACUGCAAGGCUAGAGUAUCGGAGAGGUUGGUGGAAUUCUCGGUGUAGAGGUGAAAUUCGUAGAUAUCGAGAGGAACACCGGUGGCGAAGGCGGCCAACUGGACGAAUACUGACGCUGAGACUCGAAAGCGUGGGGAGCAAACAGG
rnacentral:rRNA from 1 species